CCUACGGGGUGCAGCAGUGAGGAAUAUUGGUCAAUGGACGAGAGUCUGAACCAGCCAAGUCGCGUGAAGGAUGACUGCCCUAUGGGUUGUAAACUUCUUUUAUAAAGGAAUAAAACGAGGCACGUGUGCCUUUUUGCAUGUACUUUAUGAAUAAGGAUCGGCUAACUCCGUGCCAGCAGCCGCGGUAAUACGGAGGAUCCGAGCGUUAUCCGGAUGUAUUGGGUUUAAAGGGAGCGUAGAUGGGUUGUUAAGUCAGUUGUGAAAGUUUGCGGCUCAACCGUAAAAUUGCAAUUGAUACUGGCAGUCUUGAGUACAGUAGAGGUAGGCGGAAUUCGUGGUGUAGCGGUGAAAUGCUUAGAUAUCACGAAGAACCCCGAUUGCGAAGGCAGCUUACUAAACUGUGACUGACAUUGAUGCUCGAAAGUGUGGGUAUCAAACAGGAUUAGAUACCCCUGUAGUC
rnacentral:rRNA from 1 species